CCGAGUACUCGAAAGUGGAGCUCGGAAACAGGAACACUCCUCAGCCACAAGGAAAAGGAAAGAACAAAGAUAUAACGGUCCACAAGGAACCUACCUUCUUUGAACGAAAUCAAUUCCGAGUAGCUGAUGCUGACCUCUCCAAAAAGAUGAACCGGAAAUACAUCAAGAAACCAAAGCCUAAACCUGGUGAGAGAGAGAAGGCAAAGGGAUAGAUGGCAAACCGGCGGCACUUCUUGGAAUCAAAAAGGUCCCAAUCGCUUCCUUUUCAGCAAUUUCAGGCACUUUUAACUCUCUUUCCAAAGAACUUUUCAUCUUUCCCUCACGGUACUUGUUUGCUAUCGGUCUCGCGCCAGUACUUAGCUUUAUGUGAAACCUACCACACAUUUUGCGCUCAAAUCCCGAUGAACGCGACUCUAUAAAAGCGUACCGUACGUGGAACAAAAAACGCAGGGGAAGGACGGGAUUCUCACCCUCUAUGAUGUUCUUUCCCAAGAAACUUAACCCUGCGCUUCCACUGGUAACGCCUCUCGAGGCUACAAGUCAACAGCUCGGAAAGAGCAGUUGAUUUCCACUUUGAGCUGAUCCCGGUUCACUCGCCGUUACUAAGGGAAUCAUAGUUAUUUUCUUCUCCUCCGCUUAAUAAUAUGCUUAAGUUCAGCGGGUAACCUCGCCUGAUUUCAGGUCUG